rnacentral:rRNA from 1 species
UGGGGAAUUUUGGACAAUGGGCGAAAGCCUGAUCCAGCAAUGCCGCGUGUGUGAAGAAGGCCUUCGGGUUGUAAAGCACUUUUGUCCGGAAAGAAAUCCUUGGCUCUAAUACAGUCGGGGGAUGACGGUACCGGAAGAAUAAGCACCGGCUAACUACGUGCCAGCAGCCGCGGUAAUACGUAGGGUGCAAGCGUUAAUCGGAAUUACUGGGCGUAAAGCGUGCGCAGGCGGUUUGCUAAGACCGAUGUGAAAUCCCCGGGCUCAACCUGGGAACUGCAUUGGUGACUGGCAGGCUAGAGUAUGGCAGAGGGGGGUAGAAUUCCACGUGUAGCAGUGAAAAUGCGUAGAGAUGUGGAGGAAUACCGAUGGCGAAGGCAGCCCCCUGGGCCAAUACUGACGCUCAUGCACGAAAGCGUGGGGAGCAAACAGGAUUAGAUACCCUGGUAGUCCACGCCCUAAAACGAUGUCAACUAGUUGUUGGGGAUUCAUUUCCUUAGUAACGUAGCUAACGCGUGAAGUUGACCGCCUGGGGAGUACGGUCGCAAGAUUAAAACUCAAAGGAAUUGACGGGGUCAUAGCUGUUUCCU